GUAUUAAAUUUUUGACCACUGAAGGUCUUACAUUUAAGAGACAUUCUAAUAGACUUGUAUGUGUGUGUGUAAAAAUAACAUAGACACAGAUUUGUGAAAAAUCCGGCCUACAAUGAGUUCACAGGUGAGAUGAAAAGGCGGAGUGCACAUGCCCCGAAAGGCCAGCAGCAUCCUGAGGAUUUCAAUAAUGAUCCUUCCGCAGGUUCACCUACGGAAA
rnacentral:misc_RNA from 1 species